UUAGUGUGGCACUUAUUCCCUUCUUGUUCACAAAUUUAGCAAGCAUGAAGGUUUGCUAUAGUUGACAUCAGUGGAAUUUUAUCAGCAGUAAAGCAGACAAAAAUUGAUUUCCCAGUAAGUGAGAAGACCAGACCCUGUAAAUUGUCAGCUGCAUGGUGCCUGGUGAGACCAACAGGACAGAGGCAAAGAAAAGGUGAGGGAGACCCUUGUUUAAUGCUCUCUUCCCUGCUACAAAGAGCCCACGUGUUCUGUUGUACCUGACAGGCAAGUUUUUCCACUGAAAAACAAGAAAA
rnacentral:lncRNA from 12 species